CCUACGGGAGGCAGCAGUGGGGGAUAUUGCACAAUGGGGGGAACCCUGAUGCAGCGACGCCGCGUGGGUGAAGGAGUGCUUCGGCAUGUAAAGCCCUAUCGGCAGGGAAGAAGCAAGACGGUACCUGACUAAGAAGCCCCGGCUAACUACGUGCCAGCAGCCGCGGUAAUACGUAGGGGGCGAGCGUUAUCCGGGUUCACUGGGUGUAAAGGGAGCGUAGACGGCCAUGCAAGCCAGGGGUGAAAGCCCGGGGCCCAACCCCGGGACUGCCCUUGGAACUGUGCGGCUAGAGUGCGGGAGGGGCAGGCGGAAUUCCUGGGGUAGCGGUGAAAUGCGUAGAUAUCAGGAGGAACACCGGCGGCGAAGGCGGCCUGCUGGACUGCGACUGACGUUGAGGCUCGAAAGCGUGGGGAGCGAACAGGAUUAGAUACCCGGGUAGUC
rnacentral:rRNA from 1 species